UACAGAGGGUGCGAGCGUUGUCCGGAAUCACUGGGCGUAAAGGGCGCGUAGGUGGUGGCUUAAGCGUGCGGUGAAAGCUCGGGGCUCAACCCCGAGUCGGCCGUGCGAACUGGGCUCACUGGAGCAUAGUAGAGGCAGGUGGAAUUCCGGGUGUAGCGGUGGAAUGCGUAGAGAUCCGGAAGAACACCGGUGGCGAAGGCGGCCUGCUGGGCUAUGGCUGACACUGAGGCGCGACAGCGUGGGGGAGCAAACAGG
rnacentral:rRNA from 1 species